CCCUUAGAUGUCCUGGGCCGCACGCGCGCUACACUGACAGAGCCAACGAGUUUAUCACCUUGACCGAUAGGCCUGGGUAAUCUUGUUAAACUCUGUCGUGCUGGGGAUAGAGCAUUGCAAUUAUUGCUCUUCAACGAGGAAUGCCUAGUAAGCGCGUGUCAUCAGCAUGCGUUGAUUACGUCCCUGCCCUUUGUACACACCGCCCGUCGCUACUACCGAUUGAAUGGCUUAGUGAGGCCUUCGGACUGGCUCAGGGAGGUCGGCAACGACCACCCAGAGCUGGAAAGUUCGUCAAACUACGUCAUUUAGAGGAAGUAAAAGUCGUAACA
rnacentral:rRNA from 1 species